rnacentral:rRNA from 1 species
AUUGAACGCUGGCGGCAUGCCUUACACAUGCAAGUCGAACGGCAGCACGGGUGCUUGCACCUGGUGGCGAGUGGCGAACGGGUGAGUAAUACAUCGGAACAUGUCCUGUAGUGGGGGAUAGCCCGGCGAAAGCCGGAUUAAUACCGCAUACGAUCUACGGAUGAAAGCGGGGGACCUUCGGGCCUCGCGCUAUAGGGUUGGCCGAUGGCUGAUUAGCUAGUUGGUGGGGUAAAGGCCUACCAAGGCGACGAUCAGUAGCUGGUCUGAGAGGACGACCAGCCACACUGGGACUGAGACACGGCCCAGACUUCUACGGGAGGCAGCAGUGGGGAAUUUUGGACAAAGGGCGAAAGCCUGAUCCAGCAAUGCCGCGUGUGUGAAGAAGGCCUUCGGGUUGUAAAGCACUUUUGUCCGGAAAGAAAUCCUUGGCCCUAAUACGGUCGGGGGAUGACGGUACCGGAAGAAUAAGCACCGGCUAACUACGUG